UCUUAUGUAUGAGCACAGAAAGUGGUCUCCUGCAAUGGAAUCUAUUCCUGGUGAAGAUGCUGUGAA
rnacentral:pre_miRNA from 1 species